rfam:Candidatus Nanosalinarum sp. J07AB56 ctg_7180000028284, whole genome shotgun sequence.
AUUCCGGUUGAUCCUGCCGGAGACUACCGCUAUCGGAGUCCGAUUUAGCCAUGCUAGUCCACCGAACCUUUGGUUCGGGGCGGAAAGCUGAGUAACACGUGGCCAACCUACCCUGUGGACAGGAAUAACCUCGGGAAACUGAGGAUAAUGCCUGAUAGCAGAACCAUGCUGGAAACGCAGGUUCUGUGAAAUGACACGUCGCCACAGGAUGGGGCCGCGGCUGAUUAGGUUGUCGGUGAGGUAACGGCUCACCGAGCCCGUAAUCAGUAGCAGCCGUGGGAGCGGUAGCUGCCAGUCGUGUUCUGAGACAAGAACACGGGCCCUACGGGGCGCAGCAGGCACGAAACCUUUACAAUGCACGCGAGUGCGAUAGGGGGACUCCGAGUGCGUUCUUCCCACAAGGAAGGACGCUUUUCUGCACUGUAAGGAGGUGCAGGAACAAGGGGUGGGCAAGACUGCUGCCAGCCGCCGCGGUAAUAGCAGCACCCCGAGUGGUAGUCGUUAUUAUUGGGCUUAAAGUGUACGUAGCCGGACCUGUAAGUCUGUUGUGAAAUCCACGCGCUUAACGCAGUGGAAGCGCAACGGAUACUACAGGUCUAGGGACCGGAGGACGCCGAGGCUAUUCCAUGGGUAGGAGUGAAAUCCUAAGAUCCAUGGAGGAGCACCAGUGGCGAAAGCGCUCGGCGACUACGGAUCCGACGGUGAGGUACGAAAGCCAGGGGAGCAAAACGGAUUAGAUACCCGUGUAGUCCUGGCCGUCAACAUUGUCCGCUCGACAUGGCCCAACCUUUGUGGUUUGGCUGUGUCCAAGUGAAAACGUUAAGCGGACCGCCUGGGUAGUACGGUCGCAAGGCUGAAACUUAAAGGAAUUGACGGGGGAGCACCACAACCGGUGGGGGCUGCGGUUUAAUUAGAUCAAACGCAGCGCACCCUACCAGAGCCGACAGCAGAAUGACGGUCAGCUUGAAGAGCUUACCCGACGCGCUGAGAGGAGCUGCAUGGCCGCCGUCAGCUCGUGCCGCGAGGUGUCCGGUUAAGUCCGGUAACGAGCGAGACCCGUACCCUAUGUUGCCACGGAGACACUAGCUGUCUUCGGCACUCGUGGGGGACCGCUGGCGAUAAGCCAGAGGAAGGAGCGGGCCACGGUAGGUCAGUAUGGCCCGAAUGCUCUGGGAUACACGCGGCCCACAAUGGCCGGUACAAACAGAAGCCACCCCGAGAGGGGAAGCUAAUCUGCCAAAACCGGUCCCAGUCCGGAUCGAGGCCUGCAACUCGGCCUCGUGAAGUCGAAAUCGGUAGUAGUCGCUGGUCAUCAUCUAGCGGCGAAUAAGUCCCUGCUCCUUGUACACACCGCCUGUCAAGUCACCCAAGUCAGGUUCAGACGAGCCUCCCACCUAGUGGGAAGCAAGUCUGAGCUUGGCAAGGGGGGCUAAGUCAUAGCAAACAGUUGUGACCCCGAACCGGAAGGUUUGAGGAAAAAUCUGGCU